UGAGGUGCGUCAGUUGUCUGUUCAGAAGAGUACAAAUUUAUGUAAAAAUCUUUGAAGCUGUCAUUUAUCAGUCUGUUUUCGUAUACCCUAUUGCCCUCAGCAUCCGCAAUCACUGCUAUAGACUGGGACUCUGCUCGUUUUUUAGCCAGUAAGAAGACAGUUUAUAGCUGAUCUAAGAGCAGAAAUUUCUUGCCAUAAAUAAGGUGAUGGAGA